rnacentral:rRNA from 1 species
GAUGAACGCUGGUGGCGUGCCUAAUACAUGCAAGUCGAGCUAACAGACGAGGAGCUUGCUCCUCUGACGUUAGCGGCGGACGGGUGAGUAACACGUGGAUAACCUACCUAUAAGACUGGGAUAACUUCGGGAAACCGGAGCUAAUACCGGAUAAUAUAUUGAACCGCAUGGUUCAAUAGUGAAAGACGGUUUUGCUGUCACUUAUAGAUGGAUCCGCGCCGCAUUAGCUAGUUGGUAAGGUAACGGCUUACCAAGGCAACGAUGCGUAGCCGACCUGAGAGGGUGAUCGGCCACACUGGAACUGAGACACGGUCCAGACUCCUACGGGAGGCAGCAGUAGGGAAUCUUCCGCAAUGGGCGAAAGCCUGACGGAGCAACGCCGCGUGAAUGAUGAAGGUCUUCGGAUCGUAAAACUCUGUUAUUAGGGAAGAACAAAUGUGUAAGUAACUAUGCACGUCUUGACGGUACCUAAUCAGAAAGCCACGGCUAGCUACGUG